UAGUCUGGUGCCAGCAGCCGCGGUAAUACGGGGGAUGCAAGCGUUAUCCGGAAUCAUUGGGCGUAAAGCGCCUGUAGGUUGUUUAAUAAGUCUGUUGUUAAAGACUGGGGCUUAACCCCAGGAAAGCAAUGGAAACUACUAGACUAGAGUAUGGUAGGGGUAAAGGGAAUUUCUAGUGUAGCGGUGAAAUGCGUAGAUAUUAGAAAGAACACCGGUGGCGAAAGCGCUUUACUGGACCAUUACUGACACUCAGAGGCGAAAGCUAGGGUAGCCAAAGGGAUUAGAUACCCCUGUAGUCCUAGCCGUAAACGAUGGAUACUAGAUGUUGCGCUUAUUGUGCAGUGUCGUAGCUAACGCGUUAAGUAUCCCGCCUGGGGAGUACGAUCGCAAGGUUGAAACUCAAAGGAAUUGACGGGGGCCCGCACAAGCGGUGGAGCAUGUGGUUUAAUUCGAUGCAACGCGAAGAACCUUACCAGGGCUUGACAUACUGCAAAUUUUCUUGAAAGAGAAAAGUGCCUUCGGGAAUGCAGAUACAGGUGGUGCAUGGCCGUUCUU
rnacentral:rRNA from 1 species